rnacentral:rRNA from 1 species
AUGAACGCUGGCGGCGUGCCUAAUACCUGCAAGUCGAGCGAACAGACGAGGAGCUUGCUCCUCUGACGUUAGCGGCGGACGGGUGAGUAACACGUGGAUAACCUACCUAUAAGACUGGGAUAACUUCGGGAAACCGGAGCUAAUACCGGAUAAUAUAUUGAACCGCAUGGUUCAAUAGUGAAAGACGGUUUUGCUGUCACUUAUAGAUGGAUCCGCGCCGCAUUAGCUAGUUGGUAAGGUAACGGCCUACCAAGGCAACGAUGCGUAGCCGACCUGAGAGGGUGAUCGGCCACACUGGAACUGAGACACGGUCCAGACUCCUACGGGAGGCAGCAGUAGGGAAUCUUCCGCAAUGGGCGAAAGCCUGACGGAGCAACGCCGCGUGAGUGAUGAAGGUCUUCGGAUCGUAAAACUCUGUUAUUAGGGAAGAACAAAUGUGUAAGUAACUAUGCACGUCUUGACGGUACCUAAUCAGAAAGCCACGGCUAACUACGUG